AAAGCUUUUGAAGGGACGAGCAAAGCAGCUCCAGCUUGCUAACGAUGCUAACGCUAGCUGCUACGACUGCAGCAGAUUUAAACAUUCGAGAAGCAAUGACUCUCUAAUGUCGAAAUUAAACACUCAAAGUCGCUUCGAGAUGUUAUCCGGAGCCCUGUGGUGUAAAAUCUAGCAUUGUUGUGUUAUUGCACGUCAAACUAUCCAUCGAGGUAGAUCACAGAGACGGCGUUAUGGUCAGUGUUAUCAGCAGAAAGCUUUCCUGCUCUGGUUAUCGCAGCCUCCAUCGGCUCAGAAGUGCAGAGGUGUGCAUCCUGUCUGGGCCUUGCGUCAGCAGCUUGAGUCCAUCGGUCCCUCCAUGUUCAUGUCAGUGUGAAAUAUAACCAGCUCAGAAACCAGAGGAUGUCCACAUGCUGACAGACAGAGCACAGAGAGGACGAGAGACGAAGCAGACAUGUUGGUUCUGGUGAUCAGUUUGCUGUACUGGACUCCAGCUGAAGGUGCUUGCCGUGGAACUCUCGUGAGUAUUUCUGGAGACAACAGGGAGCUUCCAGCCGGAGAGUCCUUCAAACUGACCUGUGAGUUCACCUGUUUGAGAGCCAAACAUGUGGCACAGCUGUGGAGGCAAUGCGAACAUGAGGACAAAGUGUCACUUGUCAAUGUCACCUCCUUCCUGCCCAACGUGACUCUGAUCCUGAACAUCAAUUCUGCAACAAAGGCCGACACUGGAAACUACUGCUGCAUGACCCAACCGCCCGACACAAUCAGCCCCUCAGUACUGAUUCAGGUCGCAGAUAACCUGACAAGACAAACAUCUAGCCUGACCACCACAAGUUCACCACGGUGUGGAAACGCCCAACAAACCAGCAGGGCAGCAGGUUUGCAGGGUCAGAUGUGGUACUGGAUGCUUCUGGGAAAAACUGCCAUCCUCCUCCUCAGCUUGGCCUUCCUGGCUGUGAAAUGCAAGAGAGGAUGAGAGGAAGAAGGAUUCAGAUAUCUCUUCACAACAAAGCUUUGCGUCUACCCAGUGGUGUGCACAGACAUUUAGGGGAUCAGGUGCUCAGUGAAAAAAAGGGCACUUUGUGUGGCGUGUAGAACCACUGGCUGCCUUAAUAUAACAGUGUGAG
ensembl:lncRNA